AAACAUGGCCUUUUGAGUUUUAUUUAAGGUCUAACCUGCUCAAUGAGUUUUAAAUAGCCGCAGUAUCCUAACUGUGCAAAGGUAGCAUAAUCAUUAGUUUUUUAAUUGAAAGCUGGAAUGAAGGGUUGAAUGAGAAAAUAACUGUCUCUAUAAAAGUUUUAUAGAAUUUUAUUUUUAAGUUAAAAAGCUUAAAUAUUAAUAAAAGACGAGAAGACCCUAUAGAGUUUUAUACUUAUAAAAAAUUUAUCUUUUAGUAUUUUAAAAUAAAUUUUUUUAUGGUAUUUGGUUGGGGUGAUUAGAAAAUUUAAUAAACUUUUCUUUUAGUAAAUACAUUUAUUUAUGGAAAUAUGAUCCUUUAUUUAAGAUUACAAGAUUAAAUUACCUUAGGGAUAACAGCGUAAUUUUUUUUGAGAGUUCUUAUCGAAAAAAGAGAUUGCGACCUCGAUGUUGGAUUAAAAUAAAUUUUUGGUGUAGAAGCUAAAUUAAUUAGGUCUGUUCGACCUUUAAAAUUUUACUUGAUCUGAGUU
rnacentral:rRNA from 1 species